AAUCGCGGGGAUCACGGGGUUAACACUUCUCUGCUCUGCCUCUGUAUUAGAUACACACCGGGAGCGCCCGAUCGCACUGCCCCUGCAGCAGUGAUCGCUCUGACAGGCUGUAAGAGCGAGCACAGGUGCUGCAGGGACUCACAAUCCGCCUCCCUGCACUUCACACCGACCGCGGAAGUGCAGGGAGGCGGAUCACUGCUGAUCUUCUCCCUGUGUAAAAAAAAAAAAAAGUUAAAGUUAAAUCCCACCCCCCUUUUCCCCUGCUUUAAUAAAAUCAACCCCUUCCCUGCCAAUUG